ACAGAUCCAACAAGGCAAAUAGUAGUGAACAAAGUUUGCUUCCUUAAGCAACUUUUCUAAUCAGCCAUUUUGUCUAUCAAAUGAAAAGCAGAGACUCAGAUUAAGUAUAACGAGCAGCACCAAGCGUUUUAUGUUACCAGUAAUACACAUACUAUGCAUUGGGGGACAAGACAUUCAUAGAGUCUAUAUAAGUAUCCUAACAAUUCAAGUAAAAACAAAACAGGUAUUGCAUUCUAAUAAAGAUAACAAGAGGAAAAAACCAAAGAAGAGAAGGCGGUUUAGCAGGCAGCUGAUGAUCCGGUUUACUCUCAAUCAUCCUGUCAAACAAAGUAUGUUUCUUUUUACUGACUCACACGUGACACGAUUAUUCCAGUGAUGACUUACAAUUCAAACUCGUCUUCAAGCUUCAGAGCCUCAGCAGCAGCCUCUUCUUCCUCAUCGUCAACAACAAAGUACGGGUUAUGCACCUCUGGCCUGAACUUGUAGCCAGUAAACAGAUAGAAGGCAAGUGUGGCUAACUCGCUGGCAACAACACUAGUCCACAUAUACUUGUAAGAGGUAAUGGUCUCCAGUGCAUACACAACAACACGAGUGAAGUAGAUGUAGCAGAUAACCACAAUGUAGUACUGCCUAAACAGAGUUAACUUAACGAGGUUCACAGCAGCCUUCCCGUCAGUCUUAGCCGCCUCACGCAAGUUUUUGAUGGACCAGACAAUGGGAAACAGAACAGCACAGCAACAGACGACAUCAACAAGCAAAAAGAUCUGUUUCCACGUGACCCAAUCUUGGCCAUACGGUCCAGUCUCAUCGAUAACCACCUGAGCAAAGUUAGCGACAACCUGGAGAGGAAUGACAAUCAUCAAGACCUUCUUUUCCUUGUCCUGCAAGUAGGGCUUCAAGAAAGACCAACCGGUGCCGAUCAAGACGAUCAAAGUGAAAAGAGUGAUACCCUUAAGGAAAUUGAAAAUGUAGAACAAGACAUCCCAACCAUGAGCAGUUCCAGUUUUCUUAAUGUACGACUUAUCCUCAGCCUCACAAAGAAGGUUCAAAGCUUUCAAGACAACAACUCCCAACAUGAAGAAAUGGAUUGCGAAAACAGUGAGACGUUUCUUAUAGAGAACGUAGAUCCACGUGGCGGCGAGAGAGAAAUAGAUAACAGAGAAUAAGAAAUAGACCUUAGGAAGAACAGUUCUUCCAGCAGAGAGAUAAUCACGACCUCCCUUUUUACCUUCAAGGUUAUACAUAGCGGAUCUAACAUCCAUACUGAUUUUGACCUGUUGGAGACAAUUAGCGAAGACGAGAGAGUACUGAUCCGCAUCGUUCUCGGUGAAUACGGUGGAGAAUCUGCUCUUAUCUCCUCCCUUGAGAUUGUUGAAGGUGAACACAUGCUUAACGAGAUCUGAUUGUAGAGCGCACGUGAUCUCUUCUUCUUCAAGCUGUUGGAUCACAUGAACCCAAGCGUCUCUAGUGCAGAGAAAGAAGCCCACUUUGGAGAGAUCGAGAUCGGGAUUGCUGUUGGAAAGCCAGAUCUUGGAAGCGUCAAGCUCAAGACGACCGCUGUGAGUGAAACCGAAUUCGUCUAAAGGGAUGAUUGGACGAUCAUCGGAUCGGAUCUCUGAUUUACGAAUCUCAGCCGAAGCUAUGGAGAUGGAGAUCAAGAGAAGGAUAAGGAUCGAUGAGAAGCGUGAAGAGAGAUCCAUGGGAACUAGGGUUUCGUUCUUCGACUUCACAGAGAGAUUAAUCUGAUCUCAGAUGUGAGAUCCAAAGCAAAAUCAAUCCAACUUGUUCUUCUUCCGAUGAAAACGGUUGUGUGUGACCAACCAAAUUAAAUUAGUCUUUUUUUUCUUUCUAAGAAACAAAAUAAAUACCAUUAUUUUAUUAGCAACAAGAG